AGCGAACGCUGGCGGCAGGCUUAACACAUGCCAGUCGAACGGGCAUCUUCGGAUGUCAGUGGCAGACGGGCGAGUAACACGUGGGAACGUACCCUUCGGUUCGGAAUAACUCAGGGAAACUUGAGCUAAUACCGGAUACGCCCUUUUGGGGAAAGGUUUACUGCCGAAGGAUCGGCCCGCGUCUGAUUAGCUUGUUGGUGGGGUAACGGCCUACCAAGGCGACGAUCAGUAGCUGGUCUGAGAGGAUGAUCAGCCACACUGGGACUGAGACACGGCCCAGACUCCUACGGGAGGCAGCAGUGGGGAAUAUUGGACAAUGGGCGCAAGCCUGAUCCAGCCAUGCCGCGUGAGUGAUGAAGGCCUUAGGGUUGUAAAGCUCUUUUGUCCGGGACGAUAAUGACGGUACCGGAAGAAUAAGCCCCGGCUAACUUCGUG
rnacentral:rRNA from 1 species